GACGAACGCUGGCGGCGUGCCUAACACAUGCAAGUCGAACGAGAGCGACCGGCGCUUGCGCUGGUCACUCUAGUGGCGAACGGGUGAGUAACACGUGUAUCACCUGCCCAUCUGUGGGGGAUAACAUUGGAAAACGGGUGCUAACACCGCAUAGGCCUCCGCACCGCAGUGUUUGUUGGGGAAUUGCGGCGCAUGCUUCUGCAGUUGCAUGGUCCCGCGUUGCAGUUGCUAGAUGGUGGGGCAACGGCUCAGCAAGGUCGUGAGGCGUAGCCGACGUGUGGGAGUGAUAGGCGACAUUGGAACUGGGACACGGCCCAUACGCCUACGAGAGGCAGCAGUAGGGAAUCGGACGCAAUAGUCGCAAGUCUGACGGAACAGGGCCGAGUGUGUGGAAGAGGUGUUCGGAUCGUAAAGCUCUGUUGUUAGUGAAGAAUAGCUGCUGGAGUAGAUGAUGGCGGCGUGACGGUAUCUAACCAAGAAGCAACGGCUAACUACGUG
rnacentral:rRNA from 1 species